GCUUUAAUGGUGUAUUAACAUAUUAUAAUUUCAUUAUAGGGUAGAUAUUAAUCUUGAAGUAAAUCUUAUAUAUUCUUAGGUUGAUUCCCU
rnacentral:tRNA from 1 species